AGCCCAGAUCUAGCCCAACCACCUGUAAUCAAAUGUACUUAAAAAUCAAUUCAACCUUUAGACUAAACCAUUCUCCCAACUUAGUAUAGGCGAUAGAAAAGGCUAUUAGGCGCGAUAGAGACUUGUACCGUAAGGGAAAGAUGAAAUAACAAUGAACAAGCCAAGCAACAAAUAGCAAAGAUAAGCCCUUGUACCUCUUGCAUCAUGAUUUAGUAAGAACAACCAAGCAAAGCGGCCUUAAGCUUGCCACCCCGAAACCCAAGCGAGCUACUUACGAGCAGCUAUCCUUGAGCGAACCCGUCUCUGUUGCAAAAGAGUGGGAUGACUUGUUAGUAGAGGUGAAAAGCCAAUCGAGCUGGGUGAUAGCUGGUUACCUGCGAAAUGGAUCUAAGUCCCGCCUUGACACUUCUCCCCAAGGACCUUCAGCCACCCCAAUGAAGACGGUCAAGAGUAACUUAAAGGAGGUACAGCUCCUUUAAAAGAGAAUACAACCUUCCCUAGCGGAUAUCCUUCAACCCAACCAACAACUACUGUGGGCCUUCAAGCAGCCACCAACAAAGAAUGCGUCAAAGCUCCAUUCCCCCAAAAAUCCCAACACCACACGAUUCCCUUCCCACCAGCAGGUUAACCUAUAAUAAUAGGAGAAUUAAUACUAGAAUGAGUAACUAGGGUACACCCCUCUUAAGCGCAAACUUACAUUCCCCUCACAUUAUUAACAGGCAACUAAUACUCCUACGCCAACAAGAUUGCGUAUUUCACCCUCUGUUAGCCCAACCCAGGAGCGCCCACUAGAAAGAUUAAAAUCUGCUAAAGGAACUAGGCAAACCCUAAGGCCCGACUGUUUACCAAAAACAUAGCCUUCAGCUUGACAAGUAUUGAAGGUGAUGCCUGCCCAGUGACUUCAUGUUUAACGGCCGCGGUAUCCUAACCGUGCGAAGGUAGCGCAAUCAAUUGUCCCAUAAAUCGAGACUUGUAUGAAUGGCUAAACGAGGUCUUAACUGUCUCUUGCAGAUAAUCAGUGAAAUUGAUCUCCCUGUGCAAAAGCAGGGAUAAACACAUAAGACGAGAAGACCCUGUGGAACUUAAAAAUCAGCAGCCACCUCACAACAAAAUCAAACCUAUAAGGCCCACCAUCACAGCAAACGCUGGCUCGCAUUUUUCGGUUGGGGCGACCUUGGAGAAAAACAAACCCUCCAAAAAUAAGACCACCCCCUCUUAACUAAGAGCAACCCCUCAACGUACUAACAGUAACCAGACCCAAUACAAUUGAACAAUGGACCAAGCUACCCCAGGGAUAACAGCGCAAUCCCCUCCAAGAGCCCAUAUCGACAAGGGGGUUUACGACCUCGAUGUUGGAUCAGGACAUCCUAAUGGUGCAGCCGCUAUUAAGGGUUCGUUUGUUCAACGAUUAACAGUCCUACGUGAUCUGAGUUCAGACCGGAGUAAUCCAGGUCGGUUUCUAUCUAUGAUCAACUUUUCCUAGUACGAAAGGACCGGAAAAAUGGGGCCAAUACACCAAUGCACGCCCCCUCUCUAAGUGAUGACCUCAACUAAAUUACCAAGAGACCUCCCAUAACUACCAAUCCUAGAAAAGGACC
rnacentral:rRNA from 1 species